rnacentral:rRNA from 1 species
GCUGAGUGAAGCCUUCGGCUCAACCGAAGAAGUGCAUCGGAAACUGGGAAACUUGAGUGCAGAAGAGGACAGUGGAACUCCAUGUGUAGCGGUGAAAUGCGUAGAUAUAUGGAAGAACACCAGUGGCGAAGGCGGCUGUCUGGUCUGUAACUGACGCUGAGGCUCGAAAGUAUGGGUAGCAAACAGGAUUAGAUACCCUGGUAGUCCAUACCGUAAACGAUGAAUGCUAAGUGUUGGAGGGUUUCCGCCCUUCAGUGCUGCAGCUAACGCAUUAAGCAUUCCGCCUGGGGAGUACGGCCGCAAGGCUGAAACUCAAAGGAAUUGACGGGGGCCCGCACAAGCGGUGGAGCAUGUGGUUUAAUUCGAAGCUACGCGAAGAACCUUACCAGGUCUUGACAUACUAUGCAAAUCUAAGAGAUUAGACGUUCCCUUCGGGGACAUGGAUACAGGUGGUGCAUGGUUGUCGUCAGCUCGUGUCGUGAGAUGUUGGGUUAAGUCCCGCAACGAGCGCAACCCUUAUUAUCAGUUGCCAGCAUUAAGUUGGGCACUCUGGUGAGACUGCCGGUGACAAACCGGAGGAAGGUGGGGAUGACGUCAAAUCAUCAUGCCCCUUAUGACCCUGGGCUA